rnacentral:rRNA from 1 species
CCUACGGGAGGCAGCAGUAGGGAAUCUUUCACAAUGGGCGAAAGCCUGAUGGAGUAACGCCGCGUGCAGGAUGAAGGCCUUCGGGUUGUAAACUGCUUUUAUAAGCGAGAAAUAUGAUGGUAACUUAUGAAUAAGGAUCGGCUAACUACGUGCCAGCAGCCGCGGUCAUACGUAGGAUCCGAGCAUUAUCCGGAGUGACUGGGUGUAAAGAGUUGCGUAGGUGGCAUAAUAAGUAGCUAGUGAAAUCUGGUGGCUCAACCAUUCAAACUAUUAGCUAAACUGUUAAGCUCGAGACCGUUAGGGGUAACUGGAAUUUCUAGUGUAGGAGUGAAAUCCGUAGAUAUUAGAAGGAACACCAAUAGCGUAGGCAGGUUGCUGGGACGGUUCUGACACUAAGGCACGAAAGCGUAGGGAGCAAACGGGAUUAGAUACCCGUGUAGUC